rnacentral:tRNA from 1 species
UCCUUAAUAGCUCAGUGGUAGAGCAAAUGGCUGUUAACCAUUAGGUCGUUGGUUCAAGUCCAACUUAAGGAG